UCCCUUGUGGUCCAGUGGUUAGGACUGCACACUUUCACUGCCAAAAGCACAGGUUCAAUCCCUGGUCGGGGAA
rnacentral:tRNA from 1 species